GAGGAAAAAAGGAAACAACAGAAUAUGACAAAAAUUUAAGGGAUCAGUCAGAAAGUCUGUCUCUUCCCUACUACUAUUUCUCUGAAAUCCAGAAGGAGGGGAUAUGAAUGACCCCCCCACCGCACCCCGUGGAACAUCAACAUUCUCCAGACUUUAUGAAAAUCUGAUAUUCAUUUUGAUGUAAGGGUUGAUUUCAUUUUCUAAUGAGAACAACAGGAACAUGCUGCUCUUUACAAGAUAAGGGCAGGUUAGAUAAAGUCCCAUUUUAGUGUUCUUCCUCGCUCCCCCCCUUUUCAAAACCAACCCAUAAAUAUACAUAAAAUGGCUGUCAGUUCAGUUUCAUGGUUCUAAUUUAAGAGAAAAGAAGCACCAUUUUACAAGGUCCCCCACCUCACCUCUACCCAGCCCCUUUGCCUUUCUUUCAGAACCUCUUCACAGUUAACAGUUCACCGUGAAGCUCUCCCAUUUUCACAGAAAAGCAAGGAGCCACAAUACUUGGGCUAUUCUAAACCGUCGCUGGAAAUGCCAGGGUGGGAACCUAAGGAAUACUUUUCAGAGGCAAAAAGGAUGUAAGAUAAUGCAUUAAAAGGACCCAGAAGAAGCUCUUAAAUCACCAAUUGUCUUCAGGAGCUUUGAGUAGGGAGAAAAAGGAGAGCGCGUUCGCUUUGAUGGUGGACUCCACUACCACGCUAUUAAGCACAUCAGCGUCCUAAUUGCAUGCACGGUGCCACUUAGCAGCGCUUCCCUGAGAGCGCCCUACGUCCCCUUCUCUUCAUUGAUCAUGUCAGCGACGCUACCAAACCGCAUCUUUAAGCCAUUGAAAUAGUUAUGCACGAUGGAUUACAAAGAACUCUGCGAAGGCAUCCGCAAUCCCGGAACGCCUCCCGAUACCUGGAGUUUAAAGAGGACGUUCCUACCGCUUAGCCGGAAUCAGCUGAAAGUAAACCAAGGACCAGCGCCAAAGCCUCCCUUCCCUCGGGCUCCGCGUCUGUUUGACAUGAUGCUGCGCAGGAUCGUCAUUAUUUGGAACUCUCUCUCUUUGACAUCCUUUGGGGAGCCUGGGGGGCAGGAACAGCGUUGUUCUACGCCUGUGGCGUGUCCCGGCAGCCCGGUGGCUCUUAAAAACUCAGAGAAAGUCGCGUCUUCCCUCCUGGGCGCUGAGGAGGUGGCAACACGGUAA
rnacentral:lncRNA from 1 species